AUUGCCUCAGUAACGGCGAGUGAAGCGGCAACAGCUCAAAUUUGAAAUCUGCCGCAAGGCCGAGUUGUAAUUUGUAGAGGAUGCUUCUGGGCAGCGGCCGGUCUAAGUUCCUUGGAACAGGACGUCAUAGAGGGUGAGAAUCCCGUAUGCGACCGGUUGGCACCCGUCACGUAGCUCCUUCGACGAGUCGAGUUGUUUGGGAAUGCAGCUCUAAAUGGGUGGUAAAUUCCAUCUAAAGCUAAAUACCGGCCAGAGACCGAUAGCGCACAAGUAGAGUGAUCGAAAGAUGAAAAGCACUUUGGAAAGAGAGUUAAAAAGCACGUGAAAUUGUUGAAAGGGAAGCGCAUGCAACCAGACUUGUCGGCGGUGUUCCGCCGGUCUUCUGACCGGUCUACUCGCCGCCGACAGGCCAGCAUCGUGUGGGUGUGCCGGAUAAAGGCGUCGGGAAUGUGGCCCCUCGGGGUGUUAUAGCCCGGCGCAUAAUACGGUGCCGCCCGCGCGAGGUCCGCGCUUCGGCUAGGAUGCUGGCGUAAUGGUCGUAUGCGGCCCGUCUUGAAACACGGACCAAGGGGUCUAACAUCUGUGCGAGUGUUCGGGUGUCAAACCCCUACGCGGAAUGAAAGUGAACGGAGGUGGGAGCUUCGGCGCACCAUCGACCGAUCCUGAUGUCCUCGGAUGGAUUUGAGUAAGAGCAUAGCUGUUGGGACCCGAAAGAUGGUGAACUAUGCCUGAAUAGGGUGAAGCCAGAGGAAACUCUGGUGGA
rnacentral:rRNA from 1 species